UCAGUGCAGACAUGGCACCAGGUGGAUGAGCCAAGAGCCCGGCAUGCAGCAGGAAUGGAGCCCCGUGCCACAGGAACUACGUGCAUCAGAGGCUUUAGAUUUGUAACCAAGCAAUUUCCAUUUGUGUUAUGUAACUGAUGUUAUUUAUCGAGCCCCAUGCCCCGGCCAAGAGCAGAUGUUGGACUGCAGCAUUGGAAAUGAACUUUCUGGAGAUGGAUGCUGAGUGCUUUCAGGCGGGUUAUUUAGAGAGUUUGUGACCAGAAAUCAAUCCAGGCUGAAAAAAUGUAGAUCUACCUGUUUACAUCAUAAACCACGAACGCGUUUGCAUCCUGCAACAAACACCUGGGCAACAUCCAGAGGAGACAUUCCCAACGUGUUAACUACUGCCAGGUAACCAGUAAACAGUUCGGUGCUGCAAUCUGGAGUGGGGACCUUUCCUCUGAGGCUGCUGCUUAUAACGGGGCUUUCAUUGAGAUCCUGACCCCGAAGCGUCAUUAAAACAUGGCACAUUCUUGACUUUCAAACAAACUGCUGGGAGGCGGCCAGCGUGGAGCACAGAGCCAGGUUUUAGAGGGGCUGGAGCUGCACAGUGAUGUGCCACCCCUUUCAUUAGCUGCUGCUGACUGUGAAAAUGCCUUCCCGGAUAGGAAUUGCACAUAAAGGUGAAUUAUACAGGCAGCUCUUAAAGGCUCUGCUAAUAAACACAUGAAAGGAUCGGAGGGAAAUAUGUGAAAAUGUUGUUACACUGAACUCCCUUUUAAUGCCACCAGCUGGGGGGAGUGAGUAUUAUUCAGGACCGGGUUCUUCUCGUAAUUAACGCGUGUAUUCCGUAAUUAAGCGCUGCUUUAAUUUCGCCGCCUAGGAUGGCUCGGGUUUGUCCCCAAACACGGCGGUGCUGUGGGAUGGCCGUGCUGCUAUCUAUGGGGCAGAUGCCGGCGGAGGGCAGCAGAUGGUGC
rnacentral:lncRNA from 1 species